GACGAACCACACAAACGUUAUUCGGAAUUACUGGGCUUAAAGGGUGCGUAGGCUGUGCGGAAAGUUGGGUGUGAAAUCCCCCGGCUCAACCGGGGAAUUGCGCCCAAAACUACCGUGCUUGAGGAAGACAGAGGUGAGCGGAACUUCGGGUGGAGCGGUGAAAUGCGUUGAUAUCCGAAGGAACACCGGUGGCGAAAGCGGCUCACUGGGUCUUUUCUGACGCUGAGGAGCGAAAGCGUGGGAGCGAACAGG
rnacentral:rRNA from 1 species